rnacentral:lncRNA from 1 species
UCCAGUUCCUGUUCCUCUCGGAGGUCUUGCAGUGGAGAGCACAGACCACCCCGGACCACGUCCUCUACACGCUGCUCAACUGUCGGGGUGCGAUAGCGAACUCGCUGACCUGCGUGCAGCUGCACAAGAGAGCUGAGAAGAUCGCCGUGAUGCUGAUGGAGAGGGGCCACCUUCAGGACGGCGACCACGUGGCCUUGGUCUACCCCCCAGGAAUAGACCUGAUAGCAGCGUUUUAUGGUUGCCUGUAUGCAGGCUGUGUGCCAAUAACCGUCCGUCCCC